GAUGAACGCUAGCGGCAGGCCUAAUACAUGCAAGUCGGACGGGAUUCAGGAGCUUGCUUCUGAUGAGAGUGGCGCACGGGUGCGUAACACGUAUGUAACCUACCUUUAUCAGGGGGAUAGCCUCUCGAAAGAGAGAUUAAGCCCGCAUAAAAUCACAGCACAGCAUUGUGUAAUGAUCAAAUAUUUAUAGGAUAAAGAUGGGCAUGCGGAACAUUAGCUAGAUGGCGGGGUAACGGCCCACCAUGGCGACGAUGUUUAGGGGAUCUGAGAGGAUGGCCCCCCACACUGGUACUGAGACACGGACCAGACUCCUACGGGGGGCAGCAGUAAGGAAGAUUGGUCAAUGGGCGGAAGCCUGAACCAGCCAUGCCGCGUGCAGGAAGACGGCCCUACGGGUUGUAAACUGCUUUUAUACGGGAAUAAACCCAGAUACGUGUAUCUGGCUGAAUGUACUGUAAGAAUAAGGAUCGGCUAACUCCGUG
rnacentral:rRNA from 1 species